GAAGAAAUGAUGACAGAAGACUAUUAAAAAAGCUCUUUGUGUACAGAGAAAAGGCGUUUGCUGAAAGCCUAAACAAAUCUUUUUGAACCUACUUCUUGAGUUCUGUGCUAAAACACAGCGUUACCUACGUUAUAAGGUAUAGAGUGGAUAAUAUUUAUUAUUAUCAAUAAGGGUGGUACCGUCGUGACUUGACCCCUUUU
rnacentral:ncRNA from 1 species